CCGUCGAUAGCUCAGUUGGCAGAGCGGUGGACUGUAGAUCCAUAGGUCGCUGGUUCGAAUCCGGCUCGACGGA
rnacentral:tRNA from 1 species